AGUCGAACGUGAAAGCACUUCGGUGUGAGUAGAGUGGCGGACGGGUGAGUAACGCGUGGGAAUCUGCCCAGUAGUGGGGGACAACUACCGGAAACGGUAGCUAAUACCGCAUACGCCCUAUGGGGGAAAGGCUUCGGCCGCUAUUGGAUGAGCCCGCGUCAGAUUAGCUAGUUGGUAGGGUAAAGGCCUACCAAGGCAACGAUCUGUAGCUGGUCUGAGAGGACGAACAGCCACACUGGGACUGAGACACGGCCCAGACUCCUACGGGAGGCAGCAGUGGGGAAUAUUGGACAAUGGGCGAAAGCCUGAUCCAGCAAUGCCGCGUGUGUGAAGAAGGCCUGCGGGUUGUAAAGCACUUUCAGUUGGGAAGAUGAUGACGUUACCAACAGAAGAAGCACCGGCUAAAUCCGUGCCAGCAGCCGCGGUAAUACGGAUGGUGCGAGCGUUAAUCGGAAUUACUGGGCGUAAAGCGCGCGUAGGCGGCUAAGUCAGUCAGAAGUGAAAGCCCCGGGCUCAACCUGGGAAUUGCUUUUGAUACUGCUUGGCUAGAGUUUGGUAGAGGGUGGUGGAAUUUCCUGUGUAGCGGUGAAAUGCGUAGAUAUAGGAAGGAACACCAGUGGCGAAGGCGACCACCUGGACUGAUACUGACACUGAGGUGCGAAAGCGUGGGGAGCAAACAGGAUUAGAUACCCUG
rnacentral:rRNA from 1 species